rnacentral:lncRNA from 1 species
UGUCAGAGAGCGGCCCCUUGAGACAGGUGGGACAUGUCAUUUCUCACAUGAGGUCCCGGCGAGAAGGACCUGCUUCCAUCAGAUUCACACUUGGGAGAGGGGCCCGGCCUCCAGGAGCGCCAGGCAGAAAGGGCACCCAUUAGGAAGAAGAACACAGAGGCCAUGGGAGUGAAAAGUUUGAUGCUGGAAAGCAACAGUAGCACAUUCUGCUACAGAGCGGAAUGAAAAACCCUGGGGAGCAAAUUCCUGAGCCAGAGAAUGGAGCGGAGGAACCAGCCAAGGAGGAUAAAGAGGUGGGAACAGGCAAGAAAACCUGGACUUAGCCUAGAAAAUAAUGAAGAAGGACAGAAAGAGAAUACCAUUCUACUACACCCGCUGAUGACUUAAAACCUGCGUGCUCUGAGGCUGCCCGACCCUGAGCUCCAGAACAGACCAUCGAGUUCAGGAGACAAGCAUGUCAGCCAUGACACAAGGCAGAUGAGAGGGACCCCCAGCGUCCACACGUGGAGGCAGCGGGGGCAGCCGAUCCAUACAAACAGGCUGACCAUCAGGGCUGGUCCCAGGCCACCAGGCUGGGUGCAAUGCAGAAAUGGAGAUCUGCCCCGGGGAAGGCAGGUGAGUGUAGGAAGGAGGGAGGGCUGCGAGAAGCUGGGGGCAGCCUCCAUCCCCCUGUGGCCUGGGUGGGCCUGUGCCCCCCCAACCCCCCGACGCAGCUUCCCACACUGGGAGCACAGUUCCUCCCUCCUCUGCCUUCCUCUGCGUGGUGUGGCUCCUCCUUGAGGGAGAGAGCUGAGGAGGUGGCAUUCUUGCUUCCCUGACUCACCCAAAGGAAGAUUUCACAGCCCCUGGCAAGGGCUGCCAGACAGGCUCACCUGUCACCCCCUGUCCAGGGACAGACUGACCGGUAGCCUUGGCUGGGUGGGGAGUUAUGCUGGGAAGUCUUCCAGGCCCCCUGGGGGUGGGAAGAUGCUCAAUGUUCAAAGGAGAUGGAACGAGGAAAACAGUUAAGCAACGAUGGACUCCAGGGGGAAAACCGGAGAAGAAGAAACUGUAAUUCCAGUCCGUCCACAUGGCCCAGCAGUGAACGACAAUUGCAUGGUCAGAGAGAGCAAAAGCACCACGCCGACUGAAAGCAGCUCGAAUGUGGUGGGGCAGUGGGAGAUAAUGCCCUCAUCUACCAAAACAAGAUCUGCCACCUUCGCAGACCACUAAACCUCAUUCCUCCACCCACCUCCCCACCCCCAUGAAGGCCAACUGACCAGAGAGCAGGGCUCCCGAGGGUCGGGUCGGGUCGGGUCGGGUUGGGUCGGGUGGGUGCCUCUUACCCUAACUGAGGCUCUGCCCUGGACUCGGAGUCCACUUGCUGUCAAAGCAUGCCACUCUUCUUUCUGAUACUUGACAUAUUUCUUUUCCCGUUCAAUUCAUGGUUUCUGCCCAAACGGAGCCACGUGAGGACUUCUUUGGGGAUGUGUCUCCAAGAAAAGUGUGGGCUGCCUUCCUCACCCUGGAUGCCUGUGGGCAGCCUUCCUCACCCUGGAUGCCUGUGGGCAGCCUUCCUCACCCUGGAUGCCUGUGGGCUGCCUUCCUCACCCUGGAUGCCUGUGGGCAGCCUUCCUCACCCUGGAUGCCUGUGGGCUGCCUUCCUCACCCUGGAUGCCUGUGGGCAGCCUUCCUCACCCUGGAUGCCUGUGGGCAGCCUUCCUCACCCUGGAUGCCUGUGACUUGGUUUCCAUGGGGGCUUCCUAAGCUCAGGGACCCCAAGCCUCCAUCAAAUCUAAUGACCCGCCUUGUCUCUGAACACACCUGUGUUGUCCCCGAGCCCCUCACCAACCCCCUCUGCAACCCGGCCCACGCAUUUCCCAUCCUGAAGGGUCCAGCUCAUAGGCCGGCCCAUGUGUUCCCUUUACCCCUGCUUUGUCCCUACCUGGUGGGGAGCUGUCCCUUCUGGGCCCUAGUGUGGCACUUCACACACAAAUGUGUCCUGUGGGUGGUAUCUGGGCCUCCCCCUGCAGUGAGGGGAUGACCAAUGUGCAGAGCUCACUGGGCCUGGAUAUGGGCUCGGGUGGCACAGAACAGAGAGAAAGUGCUCCGUAAAAGUGAGCUGCGAUGCGGAGGUGGGCAAGCUCUUCCCUGGAGGGGGAAGAGCUCUCAACCCAGAGGGAUCUGACCAGGAAGGUUCACCCCCCCUCCACCCAGGAAGCCCCUGCAGACAGUAUGUGUUUUAGGCUUUGCUGGCCAAAUGGUCUCUGCCGCGACUACUCAGCUCUGCCAUUGUGGCUGCAGAGUGACCAUAGACCUUCUGAAAGUGAAUGAGUAUGACUGUGUUCCAAUAAAACUUUAUUGACAAAAACAAAAAAAAAAAAAAAAAAAAAAAAAAAAAAA